ensembl:lncRNA
CAGAAUAUUGACAUCCUGGUGUGGCGUAUUGCAGCCACGACACCGGCCAACGCGGACCACAGAUGGGUUUCAAACGUCAGCCUUCCCAAACAGGAUAUAGAUGAUGAGUAGGCCCUGGUGCUCCCUGGAGGAGCUACAGAUCAAAUGGUCCUCUUCCACCUCCCACCGCUCCCCUCCACCGCUCCCUUUGCUCUCCACGGGGUGGGGUCCGGACGAGGAAACGCAUCGUUCCUGUCCUCUGGUUCUAGUCAGCGGCACCAGGGCUCUAGUCGGCCCCGUACGGAGGAAUGAGAAAGCUCUCAUUGAUAAGCAGUAAUGAGAAGAUGAUGGGAAAGAAUUGUUGAGAAAUGUGCCGAGACUUGCUCCCUUGCUUUCACUGACCCUCUUCCUCCCUUCUGCUUAAUCACAAAUUAUUCAAUUAUAUAUUUUCAGUCCCAAAUGGCACCCUAUUCCCUAUGUAGUGCACUACAUUUUGACCAUUGCCCCUAGGAGAAUACUGGGCUAUUUGGAACACUACCUAUAUCUCCUCCAUCAUCAGUACCGCUACUCCCUGUCCCAGACAUUAUACAUGCUAUUCUACUAAUACAGUUAAAUACAGUUUAAUCACAGUCACUGCAAUUAGUCCUAGCAGUAUGCCCAGACACCCCCCACACACACACACAUACACACACACACACACACACACACACAACACACACACAUCUAUACUAUCCAUUGGUCAAUGCCAGGGACAAUGAGCCAAAAUAAAUCCAAUAACCCAAAAUGCAGCAGGCCCCUUUUCUUAAUUACAGGAAGUGGAAUAUUGGAAGGGUUGCACACUCUGCCAAUACACAUACUGGCUUCUUUGUGUGUGUGUGUGUAUGUGUGUGUGUGUGUGUGUGUGUGUGUGUGUGUGUGUGUGUGUGUGUGUGUUGAUGUGCAUGUGACUAUUGGCCCUUACAUGUAUAUCCUGUUGCUGCUCCAUAUUGCCUGAACUUACUGGCUUGUCCUCUUUAUCCCCUUGGAAGGAUCAAAGGUUAUUAUUCUGUAUCCCUUUAAAGGUUAUUCUUCUGUAUCCCUUUAAAGGUU